AUCGUCUCAGCCCAAAAUCUCCUUAAGCUGAUAAGCAACUUCAGCAAAGUCUCAGAAUACAAAAUCAAUGUGCAAAAAUCACAAGCAUUCCUAUACACCAAUAACAGACAAACAGAGAGUGAAAUCAUGAGUGAACUCCCAUUCACAAUUGCUUCAAAGAAUAAAAUACCUAGGAAUCCAACUUACAAGGGAUGUGAAGGACCUCUUCAAGGAGAACUACAAACCACUGCUCAACGAAAUAAAAGAGGACACAAACAAAUGGAAGAACAUUCCAUGCUCAUGGAUAGGAAGAAUCAGUAUCGUGAAAAUGGCCAUACUGCCCAAGGUAAUUUAUAGAUUCAAUGCCAUCCCCAUCAAGCUACCAAUGACUUUCUUCACAGAAUUGGAAAAAACUACUUUAAAGUUCAUAUGGAACCGAAAAAGAGCCUGCAUUGCCAAGUCAAUCCUAAGCCAAAAGGACAAAGCUGGAGGCAUCACACUACCUGACUUCAAACUAUACUACGAGGCUACAGUAACCAAAACAGCAUGGUACUGGUACCAAAACAGAGAUAUAGACCAGUGGAACAGAACAGACCCCUCAGAAAUAAUACCACAUGUCUACAACCAUCUGAUCUUUGACAAACCUGACAAAAAUAAGAAAUGGGGAAAGGAUUCCCUAUUUAAUAAAUGGUGCUGAGAAAACUGGCUAGCCAUAUGUAAAAAGCUGAAACUGGAUCCCUUCCUUACACCUUAUACAAAAAUUAAUUCAAGAUGGAUUAAAGACCUAAAUGUUAGACCUAAAACCAUAAAAACCCUAGAAGAAAACCUAGGCAAUACCAUUCAGGACAUAGGCAUGGGCAAGGACUUCAUGACUAAAACACCAAAAGCAAUGGCAACAAAAGCCAAAAUAAACAAAUGGGAUCUAAUUAAACUAAAGAGUUUCUACACAGCAAAAGAAACUACCAUCAGAGUGAACAGGCAACCUACAGAAUGGGAGAAAAUUUUUACAAUCUACUCAUCUGACAAAGGGCUGAUAUCCAGAAUCUAGAAAGAAGUUAAACAAAUUUACAAGAAAAAAAUCAACCCCAUCAACAAGUGGGCAAAGGAUAUGAACAGACACUUCUCAAAAGAAGACAUUUAUGCAGCCAAAGACACAUGAAAAAAUGCUCAUCAUCACUGGCCAUCAGAGAAAUGCGAAUCAAAGCCACAAUGAGAUCCCAUCUCACACCAGUUAGAAUGGCAAUCAUUAAAAAGUCAGGAAACAACAGGUGCUGGACAGGAUGUGGAGAAAUAGGAAUACUUUUACACUGUUGGUGGGAUGGUAAACUAGUUCCACCAUUGUAGAAGACAGUGUGGCAAUUCCUCAAGGAUCUAGAACUAGAAAUACCAUUUGUCCCAGCCAUCCCAUUACUGGGUACAUACCCAAAGGAUUAUAUAUCAUGCUACUAUAAAGACACAUGCACAUGUAUGUUCAUUGUGGCACUAUUCACAGUAGCAAAGACUUGGAACCAACUCAAAUGUCCAUCAACGAUAGACUGGAUUAAGAAAAUGUGGCACAUAUACACCAUGGAAUACUUUGCAGCCAUAAAAAUGGAUGAGUUCAAGUCUUUUGUAGGGACAUGGAUGAAGCUGGAAACCAUCAUUCUCAGCAAACUAUCGCAAGGACAAAAAACCAAACACUGCAUGUUCUCACUCAUAGGUGGGAAUUGAACGGUGAAUAAUUUUGGAGCUUGAGAAAAAGACACCAUUGUGGCGAACUUGCUUUGCCAAACCCUGUGUAUGCAUUUUUGGAUGAUGAUAUGGAAGAAAAGCACUCUUUGGCCUGUUGUGACUGGGACAGUUGACAGCACCCAGGUGUCCUUUAAUGAAAAUGCUCUUGACACCAAUGCAUCCUAGCAUCACAGCUUCAGGAAGCCUUCUCAAGUGUGCAUGGGGAGUACUAUGUCUUUCAUCAAUAAUGAAAUCUUCUGAUUUGUAAGACAUGCUGCCAAGAGAUGUGCCAUUCUAUUAUAAAAGAUCAGUAGCUUCCUUUACCGACGUGUAUAUUCUAUCUAGAACAUUGAGCUAUGGAAGACUCCCACCUAAGGGAAUUAGUUUUACACCUUCAGAUAAAGACUGCUGAGAAGAGCACCCUCUGGUGUUGUCACAGAGGCAAGUGCUACCGCACAGGCAUGCUGCAGUGAAUUUAACUGAUCCUCUGUCCCUGCAACCGUUGUUUAAGGAUGCUAUUCUGAAAAGACUGUGGAGGAAGAAAACCCUUUACCCUGUUGUUCAGGGAGAAACUGACACCACUCAACUGCCUGGCACUGAAAAUGUGGCAUCCAGUCCACUUUACCAUCAGUGUUUAAGGAAACCAUCUCUGAUAAGGAUGACUGAGGAAGAGUACUCUUUGGCUUGUUGACACCAGCACAGCUGACACACCCAGAUAUCUGUUUGGUCUCCUGUGAACUUUCAACCAGGAUUUAAGGAUGCCACUCUGGUUAAAAGCUGAAACAACUUCAAGGAAACUUCAGGGAAAAGAGAAGGCCUGGAAUCUGAUCCUCCACUUCAGAGAACAGGGGUGGUGGAGUCUAUGGCCCUUCUCCUUGAAUCUGAGUGAAAUUAGUGAGUCUUUCAAUCCAAAGACUACAGUCAUACCUCAACUAUCUACAGAGGACUGGUUCCAGGACUCCCAUGGAUCCCAAAAUCCAAGGAUGCUUCGAAUCCCUUAUAUAAAAUGGCAUGGUAUUUGCAUAUAACCUACAUGCAUCUUCAAAUAUGUUAAACCAUCUCUAGAUUACUUAUAAUACCAAAUACAAUGUAAUGCUAUGUAAACAGUUGUUACAAUGUAUUGUCAAAGACAAGCUCUCCUUGCCAAUCCCUGACCAAAUGAGAGAUUCAUGAGCAAAAUAAAUAGUUGCUGAUAUUUAAGGCACUAAGUUUGGGGCAAUGUAUUACACAGCAAUAAAUAACUGGAACAGCAUAGUAAAUUCUAGUUAAAAAUACUAAACUACUAAGUUUUAGUUAACAUACAUGCUCAAGUUAAGGGUGUGGUAUACUAACAACUGCAACUUACUUUGAAAAGCAUAAAAAAAGACACUAGAAGAAGACAGGAUGGAUAGAUGGACAAGAUAGAAGACAAUAACAAAUAGAACAAAAUGUUGUGAAAUUAUAUUCUACAAUUAUUUUAAAGUCUGUGUGGUUUGAAAAAUUGUACGAUAAAAUGAAGAGUG
ensembl:lncRNA SNHG14 small nucleolar RNA host gene 14